CAAUAGCGUAUAUUAAAGUUGUUGCAGUUAAAAAGCUCGUAGUUGGAUUUCUGGUAGGAUGACUGUGCCCUCAGUAGAGUGUGCGCUGGCGUCUUGCCAUCCUUCUGUUAACCUUUGGGAGCUUCACCGCUCCCUUUGGGGCUCAGAUAUUUUACCUUGAGAAAAUUAGAGUGUUUCAGGCAGGCUAGCGCCGGAAUACAUUAGCAUGGAAUAAUGGAAUAGGACUUUUGCCUCUUCUGUUGGUCAUAGGGUUCGAGUAAUGAUUAAUAGGGAUAGUUGGGGGCAUUAGUACUUCACUGUCAGAGGUGAAAUUCUCGGAUUUGUGAAAGACUAACUUAUGCGAAAGCAUUUGCCAAGGAUGUUUUCAUUAA
rnacentral:rRNA from 1 species